CCGGAGUCCGGGAGAAGGUCCGAUUGAGAAGAUCUUGGACCCACAAGUUCUCACUGCUGUGCUGACUAGAGUUAGACACACUGCUACUGACCUUUGAAGAAGCAAGCUU